GUGAGGAAUAUUGGUCAAUGGGCGAGAGCCUGAACCAGCCAAGUCGCGUGAAGGAAGAAGGAUCUAUGGUUCGUAAACUUCUUUUGCAGGGGAAUAAAGUGCAGGACGUGUCCUGUUUUGUAUGUACCCUGAGAAUAAGGAUCGGCUAACUCCGUGCCAGCAGCCGCGGUAAUACGGAGGAUCCGAGCGUUAUCCGGAUUUAUUGGGUUUAAAGGGUGCGUAGGUGGUUUGAUAAGUCAGCGGUGAAAGUUUGCAGCUUAACUGUAAAAAUGCCGUUGAAACUGUCGGACUUGAGUGUAAAUGAGGUAGGCGGAAUGCGUGGUGUAGCGGUGAAAUGCAUAGAUAUCACGCAGAACUCCGAUUGCGAAGGCAGCUUACUGGGAUGCAACUGACACUGAAGCACGAAAGCGUGGGGAUCAAACAGGAUUAGAAACCCCAGUAGUCC
rnacentral:rRNA from 1 species